GGAGGUGUGGCAGAGCGGUUGAAUGCACCAGUCUUGAAAACUGGCAACGAUGCGAGUCGUUCGUGAGUUCGAAUCUCACCGCCUCCGCCA
rnacentral:tRNA from 2 species